rnacentral:lncRNA from 1 species
CCUUACCCUGCUUCAGAGGAAAUAUGCAGUUCUGUCUGCUGUGCCAAGAGGCACCAGCCUCACCUGGGUCAACACUAAUUGAGAAUCCUGCUUGAAUGAAAACCUUAAUAUGAACAGAUUCUCACAACAAGUACAGCUCUAUCUGUAAAGGCUGCAAGGGCCUAAGCUUUUCUGGCCCUAACGAUUAGACUUUCUAAGAGGAAGGGGGGCCAAGUGACAUUGUGAUUGUACCCUAGUCUGAUAAGCUUUUAACAGGAGCCCAAGAAUUCCAGCAACUUCUUCCAGAAAUGUACCAUGUCUCUGCCCAGGAACAAAAAGCUUCCAAGGUCAGAGAAGGAAAAAAAUGCUUAAUGUACAUUCACUUGUGGCUAGAGAAUGCUGAGCUUAAAAAGAUGAGUAGGGGCUCCUUUUCUUCAGCAGACAGCUCUGGAAUGUUAGAACAAUUCUUCCACAGGCACGUGGGCAGACGCUGAUGGGGCAUUUGCUUCUUCUGAGUUCACAAACACAGUCUUUUGUAGGGUCUCCAAAAGUAGAUUUUAAAGUCAACUUGAUUUGAAAAAACUUGAGUUUUUCCAAACCCAAAGCAAAAAAGACUCUUUGGGAAAAAAAACCAGGCAGAAAUGAGUUAAGUCUCACAGAUCCCAAUUAGUGCUAACCUGCCACAGCGUGAAAAGGAAUUUAAACAGCAGCCCCCAGAAUCACUUCAUAUGGUUUCUGUCCAGGGGGCCAAACAAGGCAAGAGCUCAAGGGCAGCUCUCCUGCAACCUGGCCUUCGGGCAGCAGCAUGAGUAGCGUGCAGGAGGCCUGCGCAGCUGCCCUGCGCUCCUCAUCCUCAGCUCCACCUCCUGGUGUGCCAUUUUUUGCCACAGCUCUCAUCACAGUUUAAUGCCCACCUCAGAUCUAAUUAUUUGCACAAAUCCUCCCUCCUACUCUAGCAGUGGUCCUUAACAUGCUGGUCAGAGAACUAGUUGCAUUAGAAUUACCCCAAAAGCUGCAUUUUAAAUAGAAAUUCUCAAAUACUACUCCCAGAAAUUGUAAAUUUAGUAGUUCUGGGGUGGGGCCCAAUAAAUCUGUAUUUUAAAAAUAUAUUCCCAAGUACAAAUUGUAUAAUCAUUGUGAAGGGUUUAUCAAAAUUUUAAAUGCAUGAACCCUUUGAGAUUCAGCAAUCCCACUGCUGGAACAUCUAGGCUUGCAAAACUUUGGCAAGGUAUAUGGAUAAGGGGCUGGGCGCGGUGGCUCAUGCCUGUAAUCCUAGCAUUUUGGAAGGCCGAGUCAGGCAGAUCACCUGAGGUCAAAAGUUCGUGAUCAGCCUGGCCAACAUGGCGAAACCCCGUCUCUACUAAAAAUACAAAAAUUAGUUGGGCGUAGAGGUGGGCGCCUGUAAUCCCAGCUACUCUGGAGGCUGAAGCAGGACAACUGCUGAAACCCGGGAGGUGAUGGUUGCAGUGAGCUGAGAUCAUACCACUGCACUCCAUCUUGGGCAACACAGCGAGACUCUGUCUCAA